CACAUCAAGCUCCUUCCACUACUCACUCACUCCACGAGUACCGCAACCUCACGCGGUCAAAUGAUGGAGAUGGCAAUGUGAUCGUGUGCGUAACUAUACAGCUAAGUUUAUUUAUUGUUAAAAGUGACCAAGAUACAUUACUCUAACAAACGAAUUCGUGUGUUGUGUGAAUAAAGCAAGUGAAGCGUGCUCUGAAUCGCCUUUCCCCCCAGCCCAGGACCUGACAGCAAGGCCUCAGUGGUAAUGGGAGCAGUCUGUUACCGUUGUGCUGCCAUCACUUGUCUCGUUUCCUUCGUUCGCAGUGAGCUCCAGCAGCGUGCAAGGGAACAGCGUCAAGGAGUCGUGGUCCCAGCUCGAGUGGUGGAUUUAUUUCAAUGUCAGCUGUACCAAUUAAGUUUAAUCUUGGCUGGCUACCCUUCCAACUUCCAAGCCCUGCUGGUUCAAUAUUUCCUCGACACGCGCCGCCCCUCCGUCCAGUCAAGAGAGGAAGGGGAACCUACAGGCAAUACACGGGAGGAUCGCCAGUCCAUUAAUCUUCAGGAGUUACUUUGACAUAUUGGUGAAGAUAUAGGCUAUAAUUUAGCGGAUUAUACAUUAAUCCUUCUUUAAAGAACGGGAAUCAGCACUGAGAUCUGGACGAAUGUAGGAGAGGUGGAGCCGGGGCUUGAGGGGAGGUGGACGCAUUUGUUUUGUGACUAUUUAUCAAAGAUCCAUGAGGGACACAUCGGUGAAGGUAAUUGUUGUAUAAACGAUUACUAUGAUUGGUAAUGAAAAGUCUGUAAGUGAUAUAAGUAAAUUCUUUUUCGUUUCAUUUUUAUAUCCUGAUUUUAUCUUUACUUUUUUUUUUUUUAACAUAAAUGCUCACGUUCUACUCAUGUAUUUCUUUUUUUCAAAUAUCCAUUAGGAUUUGGGAAAUCAUCAUCACUACCAUCAUCUUCGUCAUCAUGAUUCCUGUCUC